GACGAACGCUGGCGGCGUGCUUAACACAUGCAAGUCGAGCGGUAAGGCCCUUUCGGGGGUACACGAGCGGCGAACGGGUGAGUAACACGUGGGUGACCUGCCCUCAGCUCUGGGAUAAGCCUGGGAAACUGGGUCUAAUACUGGAUAUGACUCCACGGUGCAUGUCGUGGGGUGGAAAGCCUUGUGCGGCUGAGGAUGGGCCCGCGGCCUAUCAGCUUGUUGGUGGGGUGANGGCCUACCAAGGCGACGACGGGUAGCCGGCCUGAGAGGGCGACCGGCCACACUGGGACUGAGACACGGCCCAGACUCCUACGGGAGGCAGCAGUGGGGAAUAUUGGACAAUGGGCGAAAGCCUGAUCCAGCAACGCCGCGUGAGGG
rnacentral:rRNA from 1 species